GUGCUUGCUUCAGCAGCACAUAUACUAAAAAAUUGGAACGAUGCAGAGAUUAGCAUGGCCCCUGUGCAAGGAUGACACACAAAUUUGUGAAGCAUUCCAUAUUUCU